rnacentral:lncRNA from 1 species
UUCAGUUGUGCCCAGCUCUUCCCAACUUCAUGCUCAGUGACAUCACAUCAGCAGCUUGAAAUCAGCCAUGGCGAGAGUAUUUAUACCAGAUGAAUUGGAUAAACAGACUGGGUCACAGAAGAUUUAGGUGGACUUGCCUUUUUCCACGAAGAGAAUGACAGAGCAGAACACAAACCAGGCAUUUGAUCCUUUCUGACAUGGGGACAGUAUUGGACUCACUGCAACGUACCACAUCUCCUUGGAGUUUAAAGGCCCUCACUUCCCCUCUUUGCUCUUGUAAGUUUCAUGCCAAAGCCUUUGGGCCUCUCAGUCCCAAGUUGUCUUCUGUGUUUCCCCAUUAAAACUUGGGAAUUAGCCAGGCGUGGCGGCCCAUGCCUGUAAUCCCAGCACUUUGGGAGGCUGAGGCGGGCAGAUCACCUAAAGUCGGGAGUUCGAGACCAGCCUAGCCAACAUGGUGAAACCUGUCUCUACUAAAAGUACAAAAAUUAGCUGGGUGUGGUGGUGGGCACCUAUAAUCCCAGCUACUCAGGAGGCUGAGGCAGGAGAAUCGCUUGAACCUGGCAGG